GCACAACACUGUAACAGUCUGCUCUUGCUGCAACCUCAUGUUAUUUGCUUGUUCAGUCUGUUCAACUGACACAGGAGCUAUAUUGCUUGUUAAUAUCAACAUUUCAGAGCGGUUACUGAAGGAGAUGAGGACAUCCUUUAGUUUAUAGUAUUUUGUAGCUGCUACAAAACAGGGGUUAAACUCAAGACUGCAUUGAAACCUCUUAAGGAUAAACUGAGGCUCUUUAAGGGAGUCAAACUCACCUGUGAUAAUACAGCAAAACAUAUUAAGGGAAGAUCAUGCCCUACAGGAAAACUGAGGUGCAUCUCAUUCUUGCAGAACUACUAGGCCACAGAGACAAGAGCCAAGCAAACACUGCCAGAUCCAAAGAGGGUUUCAGGAGCGCUGAUAGACGUGGCCAAACACCUGGGCAACCUGCAGUUAAGAGUCAGGGAGAAGAUGAAAGGGAUGGUCCAAUACUGUAAAUGCGUUUCCAUCCACAAUUUGUUCGUUCGACAUGAUGGGAUCUUUUUGUGUCUGUAAAAUGUAUUAUGCGACACAUUGCGGUGCAAACGAUUUCUUGCGCAAAUGUUGGUAGAAUAACCAUCAUGUAGAGGUAAAUGUGCAGUCACGCAAUGCAAUGUUGUGUGGUCCUUUCAGGGCGACUUGGAAAAGCAUGCACAGUUUAAGCUACGUGAUGGUGAAAGUACACAGUGAUGAGCUUGAUGCUGCUUUCCAAUAAAAAUUGAGGUUAUUAUUUGUAUGCUAGUGACAUAAUGAUCUUGCUUUUAUCCAUCUCAUAAUAUAGCCUAUAUGUGUACACUUUAUCAGCGAACUGUUGUCUAGAGAGCAUGUGCAAGAUUGGGCAAGUUUGCCAUUUAUCGCGACAGUUUGUGGCAAAACUAUUGGUAAAGUCGAAAAUACAAUGGUAACACAUUAAACUCGUGUUUUUUAUUCAGUAUAUGAUGUAAGCACAAAAGUGUUUUUAUGUGCAGGUCAUAACGCAGUCUUUGAACCGCAACAAAGUCCGGGGGCGUUUCUCUGCCCAG